UUUUAAUAUGACGUGUUAGUGAAAGUGUUAGUCACUUCAGUCGUGUCCAACUCUUUGCGACCCCAUGGACUGUAGCCCGCCAGGCUCCUCUGUCCAUGGGGUUUCCCAGGCAAGAACAGUAGAGUGGGUUGACAUGCCCUCCUCCAGGAGAUCUUCCCGACCCAGAGAUUGAACCCAGGUCUCCAGCAUUUCAGGUGGAUUCUUUUCUGUCUCAGCCACCUCGGAACCUUCUGACGGUGAAAUGUGGCCAUUUACCUUCACGCUUCAAUGCCAGCCCCUAAAUCACUGUCUCCGCGCCCGCGCUCAAGGUUGCUCCCGGAGCCGGCCGCCAACAAAGCCGCCGCCGCCUCCGCCCGGGACCCGGGCACCGAGCCUCAGCCCCGCUCCACGCCCCGACCCCCGCGGCCGCGAAGACCCGGAAGGGCCCGCUCCCCGCCUGGUCCGCUGCGCCCCCGCCGCCUUCCUCUUUCCUUCUGUGUCUGUCUCUCCAUUUUUUUGUCCCAAGGCCCUAUCUCCGGGACGAAGCAUCCAGAGGCUCUCGGUCCAAACUCACCAAGAAACCUCAAGUUCACUCCCCUAUGGAUCUCCAUUUGUCUUCCGUGCAAAGAGACAAGGGAGGGGGAGACGGGAGAGAGUCCAAGUUCUGGGCACACAGGACACAGGGUGGGGCGGCUGUUUGGAAAACGGGGAGCUGUUGGCGCAGAGAACCAGGACCGUAGCGAGGAGGUCUCGGUCCCUGCCAAGGCCUGACGUUCCCCCACCUGCCAGUCACGGGAGAGGUCAGCCCAGGGGGAAACGCACA
ensembl:lncRNA